rnacentral:misc_RNA from 1 species
AAGACUUUUGAAUAUGAUGAUUCAAGGAGUUUGAAGACUUUGUGUGGCUGUUUGGUUAUAUUUGGCAAGAAAAGCUCUUAGAUAGUGAGAGAACAGAAUAAACUGAUAAAAAAUGAUGCCCUGGAAGAUCCUAUUCCUACGUGUAUUCGCCUUUUGGACAGUGAUGAUCCCUCUGAAAACUCUGAAGGAUCAAAAUGCAUGAAAGUGAAGGCAAUAUUUAAAAACAGAACGAAUGGUCUAGAAGGAAAGAGAGCAUAAAAAAAACAGAGUAGUUUAAGAGAGUAGA